rnacentral:rRNA from 1 species
GUGGUAAUGCCGGAUGCUCCGACUCCUCGCAUGGGGUGUCGGGAAAGAUUUCAUCGGUAUGGGAUGGGGUCGCGUCCUAUCAGGUAGUCGGCGGGGUAACGGCCCACCGAGCCUACGACGGGUAGCCGGCCUGAGAGGGCGACCGGCCACAUUGGGACUGAGAUACGGCCCAGACUCCUACGGGAGGCAGCAGUGGGGAAUAUUGCACAAUGGGCGCAAGCCUGAUGCAGCGACGCCGCGUGCGGGAUGACGGCCUUCGGGUUGUAAACCGCUUUUGAUCGGGAGCAAGCCUUCGGGUGAGUGUACCUUUCGAAUAAGCACCGGCUAACUACGUGCCAGCAGCCGCGGUAAUACGUAGGGUGCAAGCGUUAUCCGGAAUUAUUGGGCGUAAAGGGCUCGUAGGCGGUUCGUCGCGUCCGGUGUGAAAGUCCAUCGCUUAACGGUGGAUCUGCGCCGGGUACGGGCGGGCUGGAGUGCGGUAGGGGAGACUGGAAUUCCCGGUGUAACGGUGGAAUGUGUAGAUAUCGAAAAAAAAA